ACGGGUGCGUAACGCGUGGGAAUCUGCCCUUGGGUUCGGAAUAACAGUUAGAAAUGACUGCUAAUACCGGAUGAUGUCUUCGGACCAAAGAUUUAUCGCCCAAGGAUGAGCCCGCGUAAGAUUAGCUAGUUGGUGGGGUAAUGGCCCACCAAGGCGACGAUCUUUAGCUGGUCUGAGAGGAUGAUCAGCCACACUGGGACUGAGACACGGCCCAGACUCCUACGGGAGGCAGCAGUGGGGAAUAUUGGACAAUGGGCGAAAGCCUGAUCCAGCAAUGCCGCGUGAGUGAUGAAGGCCUUAGGGUUGUAAAGCUCUUUUACCAGGGAUGAUAAUGACAGUACCUGGAGAAUAAGCUCCGGCUAACUCCGUGCCAGCAGCCGCGGUAAUACGGAGGGAGCUAGCGUUGUUCGGAAUUACUGGGCGUAAAGCGUACGUAGGCGGUUAUUCAAGUCAGAGGUGAAAGCCCGGGGCUCAACCCCGGAACGGCCUUUGAAACUAGGUAGCUAGAGUCUUAGAGAGGUUAGUGGAAUUCCGAGUGUAGAGGUGAAAUUCGUAGA
rnacentral:rRNA from 1 species